rnacentral:lncRNA from 1 species
GGAAACAAUAAAUAUUUUUUCCCUUCCCUAAAAAACAUCUCACAUCAUUCCAUCCAUAAAUACCAACCUAAAGACUUUUAUCACCCAAAUUUUAGUCCAUCACCCACAUAGAAAACAUCGAAAAGAUCUCUCCUCUAUCCAUCAAUUCAUGUUCUUCAUACACAUAUAAAACAUAAAAAAGGUAUGUCUUUAUCCCUCAAAUUCAUAGAUGCUUUAGAUAGAUUCAUAAGAAAUUAAUAGCGCCUCUCUUCUAUUUCAAUUGUAUAUUCUAAUAGUUGAUUUUCAAUUCAAAUGAUACAUAAUGCUUGUUUGUCAUCAGAUUCAUCCGCAGAAAGCAAAUUUUUGAGUGGUCAAAAUCAAGAAAUCGAGCAUGUUACUUCUUGUCUGGUACGUCCACUUUUUUUCUUUUCUUUUUUUUAGGUGUGUUUUGAGAUUAUUUUUUGGUAAAUUAUUUAAGAUUUCUCUGUGUUGCAUAAUUUUCCCUUUUCAAAAAAUUGAUUAGGUUCUUCUCUAUUUUGGAAUAAAAUAAUAGAUUAAACUCUGUAAUUCCCAUAUAAGCCUAAUUUAAUGGGAAAUGUAACAUCUUUAGUCACCCACUGGAUUUUAAUUUAACAAAAAAUUGAUAUUUGAUGGUCAAUGAACAAAUUACAACGGAUUAAAAUUAUAGAAUUGCUAGAUUUCUUUAAAAUAUAAUAUAACUCUAUGCUUCUUUCUUCUUUUUAGACUAUUUUUGAUGCAUAACAUUUCGAUCGUAAUAUUAGGUCAAUAUUUAAGAAAAAAUGUGCUCAAGGACAAUUGAAAAUGAAAAAUCACAUUCUACCAAACACUAUAUGAUAAAUCACAUUAUUGUAAGACUUACUUUACCUAUAUUAGAUACUAAUUCAAAUUUACAUUAAAACUAAUUAAUUUGACUUUUUUACAUUUCUAAAUCCAGUAGCAUACUAAAUUAAAUCAAAGGAAACAUAAUCUUCUCUAUAUUUGGUCACACAAACAACACUUCCAUGGUUCUUCUCCUCCUCCUCCUCCUGCUAUAACAAUAUGUUUGAUAUUUAUAAAAAAUAUUUUUCGAAUAACUAAUUAAUUUGACUUUUGAACAUUUCUAAAUCCAGUAACAUGCUAAAUUGAAUCAAAGGAAACAUAAUCUUCUCUAUAUUUGGUCACACAAACAACACUUCCAUGUUCCUCCUCCUCCUCCUCCUUCUAUAACAAUAUGUUUGAUAUUUAUAUAAAAUAUUUUAUGAAUAUUUGUUGUGCUUGAAAAUAACGGGGAGAAAGUCAUAGUGGCGGAAGAUAUGUUUAGUGAAGAAGAGUUGCAUGAUAUAAGUGUGUACAAGAUGAUUAUUUCGAGGUUAUAUGUACCAACCUCAUUUUGGCAAUAUUAUUGUUAAACUUGAGAUUUUUACUUCUGAUGAACUCAAAUUUUCUGUGAAGAUUUAUCCAACAUAUUCAACAUUACACUUACCUUGUUUAGGUAGAAGAAUUAUUCGUGAUCUAUUCUAUGCUUGAGUAACCAUGUCAAACAUAAAUGAAAUCUUAUUUUAUUUUUGGAAAGUACAAAAAUAAAUUUCAUUGUAAGCACACAAUGGAAUCAACAAUGUAAAUUUAACACAAACAUAUAAAUGAAGGCACAAAAAACGAAGUAAAUUAAAUUGGCGAAUUAAGCUGCAAGUAUAACACCAAUUUUGCAUAAAAAGGAUUGGUGUAGCGCCAUAUAACCUGCAAGUGAUUAUCUCCUCUCUUCAACAUACUUGUCUCACGUACCUCUUCUUUGUUAAACAUAUCAACCAUUCACUUUGAUAAUAUGGACAACAGACAUGGAGUUCACAAGAGAUGAACUUACAGUACCUAUAUUGGUAAAACUACCUGGACUUGAUUUUAAAUAUUGGAGUUCAAAAAGGAUUAAAUAAAAUUGAUAGUCCAGUGGGAAAACCUUUAAUGAUGGACCAACACACAGAGAAGAAAGUUGGGUUAAACUUUGCAAGGCUGCUAAUUGAAGUAGAGAUGGAUGUGGAAAUAUGGUUCAGCAAGAGUGUUGUAUGAUUGGAAGCCUUCCUUGUGUAUACACUGCAAAAAGUACGGGCAUAAUGAAGGGGAAUGUCGGAAGAAGAAGGAUGCAAAUGUGAAUACAAGGGUGGGAUGAGGAAAAGAAGGGCAGGAAGUCCAAGUUCGAGACGCAGCAACAAGGGAGAAUGAAGUGGAAGGUUCAGCACAAAGGAAUACAUAAGGGGAAACAAAACAUGACUACUCUAAAUGGGAAGAUAACACCUGUCCAUACAAACCCAAGGAGGAAGACUCAUAGUUCAAACAUUUGCAACAAUUGGAGAUGAGCCAUGAAUUUCAAAAUAUUUUUGGCAAAUAUUACUUAGACUGAAAAUGUGGGUGAAAUUUCACCAUGUGUUUGAUCAUAAAUAUCUAUAUAUUUUUUAGAAAAAUAUGAUUUAUAUCUAUAUGUUUUAAAAACUAUCAAAAUUAACCAUAAGUUUAUAUUACAAGUCAAUUGGAUAUUCAUUGCAACAAAUAAUGAGUGUCAAUGACACUAGAGCAAUGUGGUAGCUUGAAGUGAGUCCAACAAACAUCAUUCCAUAUAUCAUGAAGUAGACAAAGCACAUGACUUUGUUACUCUGAGCCGAUUGUUCAUCUUUUUCAUCAACAACCAUAUCAUCAUUUUCAUAUUCACCGAAUAUUUCAUGACUACUUUGAUAUUCACAUAAAAAAUUAUACAAUGCAACGCAAACACUAAUAUAGAGGGUGUUUUUGUAAAAGAUAAGAUUUGGAGUAAAAUUUAAAUUUUCAAAAACAUCCCAAAUAAUGAGAUUAGACCCAAAUACUAGAAAAAACUAGUAUUUGGGAAUUCGGUAUGUUUAUAAAAAAUAUUUGUUUAAAAAUGACAAAUUGUAUCGACAAAUAACACUAUUUGCCAAAUUUUCACCCAAACAAUAUUUGAGAAAAUUUUUGACAAAUAGUGUUUGUCCAUACAAUUUACCAAUUAUAUGACAAAUAUUUUUAGCAAAUAUCCCAAAUUCUCAAAUACUAGUUUUUUCUAGUAUUUGGGCCAAAUCUCAUCUAUUUGAGAUCUUUUGAAAAAUGAAAUUUUACUUCAAACUUUUAUCUUUUACAAAAAUACCCUCUAUAGUAGUUGCUUACGUUGAAUUAUAUAAUUUUUUACGUUAACAUCAAAGUAGUGAUGAAAUAUUCAGUGAAUAUUAAUGAUGGUAUGAUUGUUGAUGAAAAUGAUAAACAAUCGGUUCAUGAUAACAAAGUCAUGUUAUUUGUCUACUUCACGAUGUAUGGAAUGAUGCGUGUCGCACUCGCUCCAAAUCACCACAUUGCUCUAAUGUCACGAACACUAUUAAUUAUUAUUGGAAUGAAAAUCCAUUUGACUUUUAAUAAAAACUUAUGGUUAGUUUUGAUAAUUUUUACGACUUAAUGAGUAUAAAUAAUAUUCUUCUAAAAAGGUGAAAUGUAUUUCAAAAAAGCUUGGAGUAAAUUUUUUCAAAGAGGACAUUUGUUGAAACAGAUUAAUGCUACAAUGAUAUCUUUAAUUCCAGAAGUUCCUGUCCCCCAAAAUGCCAGCCAAUAAAGACCAAUAUCAUGUUGUCAUGUGCUUUAUAAGAUCAUCUCAAAGCUGAUAUGUUCAAGACUGAAAGAAGUAUUUGGAUGCUUGGAAGCUGAGAAUGAAGCCGCAUUUGUACUUUAAAAUAUCACUUAUCCAUGAAGAAAAUAAUUCUUACCUCAAAAUACUUUAUUUUACUGUAUUGUGUUAUAUCAAGAAAAUUGUACACUUCUUAUUGAUUACAAUACAUGCAAUUUUAUAGAGUUUAUUUUUAAAUGUUUAUUAUUUUAUCAACAGUGAUGAAAUCAUCAAUACAAGAUGAUGAAGCCAGCAAUUCAAGCUGGAAGCUGGAAGCUAAUCUCAUUCCUCCAUUAAUGGAGGUAGAGCUUCUGAUAGCAUGAAGGAAGAAGAUGGAAUUUUCUGUAUUGAAUGCAUAUGUAAAGCAUUACAUUAGAUGUGUAUAUAUACACAUCAAUGAGUAGUAACAAAUCACAAAAACAGAAAUACAAAACAUGUGAUCUAUAACUAACUACCCAUGUGAAUUAUAACUAACUAUAACUAACUACUUGAAAGUUGAGUUUGACUAACUAACUAACUAACAAAUUGAUAACUAACUCACACUAAACAAGCUAGUUUUAUCACCCCCCUCAAGUUGGAAGUGAGCCAUUCACAGACAACUUGUUCAUCAGAUGAGAAUGUUUAACACCAGUCAAUGCCUUAGUGAAAACAUCAGCCAGCUGGGAUUCUGUUGAGACAUAUUGGAGUGUAAUCAGUCCUUCUUGGAGCUUUGUCCUGACAAAAUGACAAUCAACUUCUAUGUGUUUGGUUCGUUCAUGAAACACUGGAUUCUUGGCAAUGUGCACUGCUGCUUGGCUAUCAC